CCUACGGGUGGCUGCAGUGGGGAAUAUUGCACAAUGGGGGAAACCCUGAUGCAGCAACGCCGCGUGAAGGAUGAAGGUUUUCGGAUCGUAAACUUCUAUCAGUAGGGACGAAAGAAAUGACGGUACCUAACUAAGAAGCCCCGGCUAACUACGUGCCAGCAGCCGCGGUAAUACGUAGGGGGCAAGCGUUAUCCGGAAUCACUGGGUGUAAAGGGUGCGUAGGCGGCAAUGUAAGUCAGAUGUGAAAUCCCGGGGCUCAACCCCGGGCGUGCAUUUGAAACUGCAUAGCUAGAGUGCAGGAGAGGAAAGUGGAAUUCCUAGUGUAGCGGUGAAAUGCGUAGAUAUUAGGAGGAACACCAGUGGCGAAGGCGACUUUCUGGACUGUAACUGACGCUGAUGCACGAAAGCGUGGGUAGCGAACAGGAUUAGAUACCCCAGUAGUC
rnacentral:rRNA from 2 species